rnacentral:lncRNA from 10 species
AAGACAAGCCCCGCCAUGCUGCCGCUGCCCCCACGGCCUCGCUUCCGUUUUGGGGCGGGAGCUGAGGAGGCCUCGUGGCCGCUGAGCCAAAACGUCUAUGGGGCCUGGUGCCCCUCACCCUCUUGCUCCCUUCCCCUUUCUCCUACCCCUUCCCCCACCUAUGUCUCCCCUCCUCCCAGCUCUCCCCUCUGAGCCCCUCACCCUUCCUUUUCCCUCCUCCUCCCUCUCCUCCUCUAUCGGGACCAUCAUCAUGGUUGGUCACUGUGAGUAGGACUUCGCCAGCCCACCCAGGAACCCCAGAGCCCUUACAACGGUCCACAUGCCCCGCCACCACCUUCUAGACCCUCAUCUCCGCAGUCCAUCUCCAGCCUCACUGUCCCUGGAAGAAGCCCCGCAGGCUCCAGCCCCAGGGCCUCCAUACACCCUGCACAGGCAAUUCUGUUCUCCCAGGUAUCCGCCUGGCCCUAUCCUUCGUAACGCUGGUGCCACCAUCACCCUAUGACUGAGCACCCCCUGGCAGGUUCACGUUCAUUUGCGUCCUUGCAUUCUGACCAUGUGCUCCAACUGGGAUGCCAACCCGUGAGGCGGGCCCCCCCCCCCACGCGUCCUGAGCUCUAGAACGUGGCCUGGCAGGGAAUGCCUGCUCACAGUAAAUAUUCUAGAAUGAAUGACUGAGGAGCCUUCUAGGUGCUGGCCCCUGUCCUGAGUGCUUUGCACACAAUGGCUCCAUUUUACAAUAAGAAAACUGGGAGGUGGCUCACGCCUGUAAUCCCAGCACUUUGGGAGGCCGAGGCGGGUGGACUUCAUGGAUCACCUGAGGUCGGGAGUUGGAGACCAGCCUGACCAACAUGGCGAAACCCCGUCUCUACUAACAAUACAAAAUUAGCCAGGCGUAGUGGCGCAUGCCUGUAAUCUCAGCUACUCGGGAGGCUGAGGCAGGAGAAUCGCUUGAACCCGGGAGGCGGAGGUUGUGGCGAGCCGAGAUAGCGCCAUUGCACUCCAGCCUGGGCAACAAGAGCGAAACUCCAUCUCAAAAAAAAAAAAAAAGAAAAGAAAAAGAAAAAGAAAGAAAGAAAUGAAAACUGAUGCACAGGGAAGCUUAGUUAACCCAAACCAAGUCCCCACUUUCUAAUGAAGAGGGAAACCAAUGAUGAGCACGUGAGCAAAUGAAUGAAGGAUAAUUGCAGGCAAGUGCUCCAAGAAAACAGAACAGGCCCGGUGCAUGGUGGCCCACAACUGUAAUCCCAGCACUUUGGAAGGUCCAGGUGAGGGAUCACUUGAGGCCACUAGUUGGAGACCAGCCUGGGCAACAUAGUGAGACCAGUCUCUACAGAAAAUGAAAAGAUUAACCAGCCACAGUGGCAUGCGCUUGUCGCCCCAGCUACUCAGGAGGCUGAGGCAGAAGGAUCCCUUGAGUCCCAGAGUUCAAGGCUGCAGUGAGCCCUGAUCUUACCACCGCACUCCAGCCUGGGUGACAGCAAGACCCUGGGGGAAAAAGAAAAAAGAAAAAAGGGAGAGAAGUGGGCUGGCACUAAGUGGCAGUUGCCCUUAGAUGGCUCCCGAGAGACAGAAGCUGACCCUGUUUUGCUUAUCGAUGUAUCUCCAGCACCUGGAAAAAUGCCUGGCACAUAGCAGGCCUUCAACAGCCUUCAGCUAUGCAGUUGCCUUUUUUUUUAAUGACUUUUGUAGUUCUCGGAAAUUAGCCAGUUAACUAAAAUCUGCGGUCUGCCUGGCCCUGACACCCUCCUCCACUUCCUUGAUACUGACCUGCCUUGACCAUCUCACCCAAUCUAACUCUGAUUCAUGACCAAGUCUUCAAGGUCCAAAUGUACGUGAUGCUUACCCAAGAGGGCUGCAAGGCCAUGGCUGGA